AAACGUCAUAGAGUAUUAGAAAUUUAGAAUAUUAGUUGUUGUUGUCUUGUUGUUAUAUUAUAUUAGUUGGAUUGUUUUAUUCUAUUAUUGGUUGAGGUUUAGGGAUUUUGAUUUAUGAGUAAGAUAAAACUAUGAAUCUUUAUUGGUGAUGAUUUAUGUGUGAAUUAAACAACAGCAACUGGAGCCAUUUGCGUAAGAUAAAGAUAUAUAAUUAUGUAUGAAGUUUGAACAAAAACAGCAAUUGGAAUCAGCUUUUAGUACCAGCGGUCGUAUUUUGGAUCCUUUUUGAAGUUGUUUGACACCUUAUAUGACAGAAGCUUUGGUAUGCACACAACAAUGGUUGAGGAAUUCUAUUGCAGAGGAAAAACUUGCUAACUUGGCUGAAAUGUUUGAAGAGCUUAAUUUCCAUGAAUCACUUGGUACCACGACUGAAACCAUUGAAGAGUAGGUCAUUAGACCAGUACCAUCAUGAGAUCAAGAGUCAAGACCCCUUUCAAAGGAGCGUGUUGAUCUGUCUCAAAGAACCACAAGUGGUACAAAGGAUGUUUUCAGUUUGUGUUAUGUGUGAUUUAUUAUGUUAUGUCUCUCUUUGAUGUUUGUUUUCAGUUUGUGUUAUCUAUGUAUGACUUAAGACUCAUGUUAUGUCUACGCUCAGUACUAUAUGUUUUCAGUUUUUGUAA